rnacentral:lncRNA from 1 species
CUGAUAUCUAUUAAUUUCUGCACUCUGCGAGGGCUGGCAUGUUUGUGAAGCAGACCGGCAUACCACAGGAAAAAAAAAAAAUGACAUUUUCUUUUGUUUGUAUGACAUGAAGAUGAAAAUUUGAUUUGAGGCUAUUUAAGUCUAAUCAGCAAGUAAAUACGACAGGCAGGCUUAGCAAACUUCUGAGCAUAGGAAAAAUGAAAAACAAGAUGCACAAUUCUGUAACCUAAUGGUAUGCUUAUGUAUCAGCCAAAAGCCUCAACAAAGCCUCAAGUCACAGAAAAACAAUUUUAAUAAAACUGUUUAUUCUAGACUGUUGAAUUAACUAGGACAUAGUAAGCAAAUCUAGUAUGUGAAGUUAUGAGGCUUGCGAUACAGCUCUUUUAUGUUCAAAAGAACCCAAUGGUAAAUGUGAAUCUGUAAACAAUUAUGGAGAGGAGGAGUGCUCUAACAAACCUUUUCCUUUCUACAGCCCUUCUAAACUCCACACCCACUUCUUCUGCUGACAUGUUGAACACCUGUGUGAGAUGGUGCUUUUGAAAAUGGGUACCAGAAUAAUAUUGUCCAAUGUUUUGUGGCCCCACUGAAGACCCUGUGACUUCCAAGAAACUCCAGAGAAAUUGAUUCUGAUCCCCAUCCUGCUAAGCCUCAGUGCAGUGCAAUGUACUUAACUCCAAGAGCCGCGAAUGACAAGCCUUGGUUGCUGCCACUUGCUGCCUUUCGUCUGGAUCCAGUGUUUCCAGUCAGCCAGCUUGAAUUAAUUUACCAUUGGAAACAAGGAGGCCCCAUUCCUACAGGCUGCCUGUCCAGCAGGUGAGAAAAUUUUCUCCCAAACCUGAAGAGUGAUGGAAUCAGAAGACUACAAGCUGUCCUGGAAAGUAGGAAUUCAGCCCCUUUUUACCCCUGUGGAAGCUGCACCAGCCUGCAGGUUGGAAAAAAAUCGUUGAUCAGUAAACCCAAGAGAGAUCAUCAGGAGGUAUGUGACAGUUUACUAACUUAGUGGUUGUCAUCUGCCUGGAAUGGAGAAUAGCUGUCUCUGAUUCCUAUAUCCCAAACUAUGUCAGCAUCUUAGUUUAAACAGUAGCUGAAGUAAUAUAUUUAGUGUUGAGAGCAGGAAUUGAAAACUAGAACUUUCAGUACUGCUGGUUCUGGAUGACAAUUCACCACUGUGUUUGCAAUACUUGUUUUUUCUCAGACUGUAUACAUCUAACAUUCACUGUUGUAAAGACACUGUGUCAAAAGCAGAAACAAUAUAACAAUAUCCUCCCUCAGCCUGAUUCUUGCACAACAUUAUCUAUGGUCUGACCACAGGCACCAAAUCAAACUUUCAGUGCUUUAGAUUCAGGGAAAACUUAUUUGUGAAUCCCAAAUCAUAUGUGGAAUAAUCAAAAAGGUGUGUAGCAAAGUAUAUCAAUGUUUUUGGCAGUGCACAAUUACGGAAUAAUUUUAGUCAUCAUUUUCACUCUGCUAGUAAAAAUACAGGUGUGUGUUGACUUCUGGUUGCUUAAACACAUAGAAGAUUAGUUACUGUUUUUACAUCUCUGCUGGUUUUACUGCCUUGAACUUCAAUAUCUACAUGCUAUAUAAUUCACAAUUUACCAUCUGUUCUUUUUCCCCCUCAAUUGGGAAAUCCAGUCCUUAGCAAAAUGAGAUGCAUGUGGGAACAUUCAAAGGCCA